GGGUCAUUAGCUCAAUUGGUAGAGCAGCUGACUCUUAAUCAGUUGGUUUGGGGUUCGAGUCCCCGAUGGCCUACCA
rnacentral:tRNA from 1 species